UUAAAGUAUAAAACUGAAUUAUGUGUCUCUUAUGACAAACUUAUUUUAGCCCCAUUGAUACAUGCCAAUCUUGCUUAAGGUGUUCAAAAGAAAUGGAUUAUGUGUUUUUGUUUUUAAUCUUUAGUGCUUUAUCAAAUGAUAUACUUCCUUAACGGUAAAUUGGCCAUAAUAAUAUAUCAUUACAUUUUGAGCACACCAUGUCACUAUGUUAGGUGCCUUUCGGCAUAUUUUAGGAAAUUGCUCAAUGUUGGUUCUUUUGGGUUUUUGUGGUCUAAACAAUAUAGUCGAAUCUAUUGUCUCAAACAUCAAUGGUGUACUUUGUUGUUGGCUUUGCAAUGUUUAACGUUAUAUAUUGACUUUGAUUUGAUGAAGUGGAAUGCUGUGUCUGCAAAAUGCCUAUUCAAGUUUAUCUCUUUGAGAGUUUCUUCACUAUAGUACUUUAUCAAGCUUAAUUGUGUUUUUCUUUUUGGUUUUAUAUAUUUUGACAGCUUUAUCAAGUGGAUUAGUUGAAUUUUGUUUGAUUAAUGAGCCAGAAGAAGAAAAGUUUGACUGAUUUUGGUUAUGGCAGUAAGGAGACUUUACCAGGUGGAGUUUCAGUCAAUAAAAAGAGAGUUGAAAAAGGGAUUUCACAACUAAAGGUUUUCACUUUGUUUCUUUCUACUCUCUUCUGAUUUUGGAUUAUCAAACCCAGUUUUAGAUAUUAUUCAAUUAUGGAACUAAUAAUAAACUAUAUUAUAUAAUAUAAUCUCUUAUACUAUAACAAGCUCCCCUUUCUCCUUCAAGCAAGAGAUGUUGGUCUCAUUCUCACUUUCGUCUUGAGUAGUCUUUUAUUUUUGUCUUUGGAAAGCAAUUAAUGUAUGUAUGCUAAUAUAAAAUAUAUUAAAAGCUACACGUGAGGAUAUAUAAUGAUAACUUCCAUGUCAAAUUUCAGUAGCUCUAGUAAUUAAUAAUCUCCAAAAAGGUCCGUCGGCAACAUCAUUCAAUUCCUAUUAUGUAUAAUUCAUCCCAAUAAGGUUAAUUAAUUUCUCAAUAUAGAUAUAUAUAUAUAUAUAUGUUUGCAUAGCAUGUUAUAUAGCUUGGUUCUUAGCAAAAAUGGCAUAUAUAUGCAUGCCUCUUCCCCUUGUUGCCAUUGGUAAGUGUAACUCCCUACAGUAUCUAAGCGUUAGUGGCUGUCAUCAAAUUGGUGAUGCUGGAAUAAUGGCCAUUGCAAGAGGUUGUCCUCAACUUACCUACCUAGACGUGAGUGUUCUCCAGAGGGAAGAAGCAAUAUGUUUUUUUGCUUCAGUCAUUGUUCACCAAGGAUGCUGAAGUACUAGCAAUUGUUGGUACUGGAGUAUUGUUUGUCAGUGCUAGUCAACCUCUGAACGCACUAGCUUAUGUUUUUGAUGGUCUCCAUUAUGGUGCUUCGGAUUUUGCAUAUGCUGCCCGUGCCAUGAUGGUGGUGGGAGGAAUGUCUUCUGCAUUUUUGCUAUAUACUCCGGCAGUCAUUGGUCUUCCCGGGAUUUGGUUAGGGUUGACUCUGUUUAUGGGUUUGCGGGUGGUGGCUGGAUUUUACAGGUAUGCAUACAAUAUUUGAGUUCCUUUUUCUUAAUUAAAACAAUAAAAGACAUAAAAUUUAUGAUGAAGCAUGAACUAUGGGAUUUUCAAACUCUUAUAAAUAGCAUUCUAUAUUGCUUGCUAUAAUGUUUUGAUUCUAUAUUGCGAAUACUCUGUUUGGCAGUGGAAUUUUCUCUUCGUUCAUCUCUUAGCUUAUUGUUUCUCUUUUGUGUUUUUUGAUGGUUUAACACAAUGCUAUCUUUUGGGCUAUUAGCUUUCUGAUCUGAACAGCACAAAAGAAUAAUUUCUAUCAAAUAUUACUUGAUGUAAAUACUAUGCUUUAAUUUAUCUUUGACUUCUAUCACUUUGCUUAGUUUAUGAUUGGUCUAUUUUUCAAAAUAAAAUAAUUUACCAAGUAAACAAUAGACUUUAUAGCAUGUAAUUCUUGAGACUAGUAUGAAUAGAACUAAUUUUUUAUUAGAGAGCAAGCCUUAUUUUUUUAAUUUGUAAAUAUGAUUUUGUUUUUCAGCAUUUGGGUUAGCAUUUAUAACUUGAAUUUCAAAUUGGAAGGUCACUUUUGUUUUAAUACUAUGAAAAUUUCAGGGUCAUGUAUAGUUUCUCCUUGAAAUUAACAUGAUUUUACUUUUCAUUAUAUAGUUUCUCCUUUAAUUUUCUUGAUUUUACCCAACUGAAGAGUUUUUACUUCUAUUUUUGUUGUUAUUGAAUUUUUGGAGCUUGUUUUCCUUGGUCAAAAAUAAAAUUUUAUUUUAGCAAGAACAAAAAAGAUAAAAUAUACUGUAGUUGUUGCAUCACUUUAUGUCUUAAUCAAUUGUUAGUAACUUGAUCUUGGGAAUUGGUAGUUUAGUUUGUUGGCGGGAAUUUCAUUGCAUUAGAAAGCUUUAAGACUGCAUAGAGCAUAAUAUUUGGUUGACAUGUCUUUGCUUACAUCCUGGUUAGAUGUUUGCUUCAUAAUGUAUAAUGAUAUGACUUAAGUCAAGUUUUUGUGCCAUGCUUGCUUGAUUUCUUGUUGUGUUAAUAGUAUGUUGUUGAAUGUGGUGAUUUUUUUUUGUCUAAAGCGGCUAAAAUGAUUCUGCUCUACUUUAAUAUGGUCUGCACUACUUUAAUAUGGUCAAGGCAAACUAUGUUAUAAAGUAUGUGGAAGAACGUUUAAAUUGCAUUUUAUUUCAGUAGCUAUUAAUUUUGAUAAACACCUCAUAGGAAUAGAGGUGCUCAUUGUGUGUUCUCUUAAGAAAUCAUCUAGUCUCCUGGACUUGUAAUUCACUUUUACGCUAUCUUCUCUUCAUAGUUUUGACUAAAUAAUUUCUAUUCUCACUGCUAUUAAAUGUGAGAGAUGUCUUGAAUCAUGCUUAUGCUUGUUGUGUGCAAUGCUUGCAGUUUGGAUUUUAUUGUGAUUUUUUGUGAGCUUAUUUUUAUGUCAAGUUGAGAGCAUGGCAGCUUGUUAACUUGGCACUUUAAAAUUUCUCACAUUAAUAGGCUUAUGAUGCUACCUUGUUCUGUAUUACUAUGUUCUAUACCUUUAGAGGAUUUCGAGGAUGAAGUCUCUCUUUUAAUUGCUAGAGACUCAUGGUUCUUGGUUUUGACAAUGGAUAAUGAUGUAGGAUUUUUAAAAUCUGAUCACAACAUAAAACUAAGAACCCACUUCUGAAUUAUCUUAAGUUGUUUGAUCUCACCAAGGGAUUAUCUUUUGCUGCUGGUUUUAAUGAAGUUUGAAGUGGUUUGGUGCUAUUAUCAGUAAUCCUUCCAUAACUUUAAAUUUCAGCCAAAUGUACUGAACUAUUGUUGUGGCUGGAAAGCAUCAAUUAUAUGUUUGUUUUGUUUUUAGACAGAGCAAAGGGAAUUACUGGCUUUGAUUUUCUUGUUCUUUUUUACCUUAUUGUUUAUGUUCUUGAUUUUAUAAUUAUCAUUUUUCUUACUCUCAUUGGUUGUCCUGAGAGUGAGGAUAAUGAAAAGUUGGGUUUCAUUUCUUUGUUGUUUGUAUUUUUGAAAGAAAUCAACAUUCAGAGGCUGGGGUGAUGUCUUUUAUUUUAUUUUUUGAGAUGCAGAGGUGAUGCUUUAAAAGUAUUAAUUAUUAUCAAAUGAGUUGAGGUAUUUUUUGAGCCAAAUAUUGGUUUGGUUUUGUGAUUGGAGAAUAGUGGAGUGUAUGUAUGUUGAUGAUCAUAUAUUGCUAUAUCGUAUAGAGAGAAAAUGAACUCUAGUCUUGGUGUCUGGAGUGUAAAGAGAUUUAUUCUUCUUCUUUGUUUAUGAUAGACAUACAAAAAUUCAAAUAAAGAAGACUAUAACUUAACUAUCCCAAAAUUGAGAAUAGUUUCUGGUAACAUACUGUCCUUACUCAGAUAAGGUAACAAAUAAUAGGUUAGUAUGGUAUCCUCGAUUUUUGAUUGAAAACGGAUGAGAGAAACAAAAUAGUAAGCAAAGUAUUAUGGAAACUGGAAAGGCUUCUCAGAUUAGUUGGGGGCUGAUGCCAUUGUCUUAGAUAUGAAUGGUCUAGAAUCUGUGAAACUGAGACACUAAAACACAGCUAACAAAGAAUAGCACCACAUUAACUGAACCAUUUAUUACUCAUGUAGAAUAAAAUCACUCUGUAGACACUAAAACACAGCUAACACUAGAAUAUUUGAUUUUGGCAUACCUGAUCUUGCAACAAGUUUAUAUGUUUUAUCCUCGUGCUUAGUUAAAAUCACUCUGAUUGUUGCAGCAAUCACAAGUGCAUGUGCAAAGUGCAUAGUUUGAGGUUUUCAAACAGGUUGCUGCAUUUUGUUUAUGCAAUAUUUUUUCAUGGCAACUUUUCAUUUGGCUAGAAAAUAAUUGCUGGAAAACUUGUUAUAUGUAGAAGUUGAACCUUGCAUAUAAUUUUGAUAUUCCACUAUAAAAAUAUUUGAAAAAUAUUAUACUCCAAAUCCAAAAGAAAAAAAAAGAACAGAAUAAGUAAAGAAUAAAUGAAGUACCUAACGUAUAAUAACAAAUUAAGAACUGAAACAAUUGCAGAAAUGGAGCACGUGAUUUUUUUUAGGUACCAUUUGAUCUAUAUAAUAUACAUGGAUAUAUACAUGUAACAUCAGCCAUACAUUAUAUAUCAAUGAAAAAUUGAAAAUAAAACUCUUGUUUCAUAUCAGGCAAUGAGUCUAUAUUCCUCAGUAUUACUAUCUGCUAUUGAUAUCUGAUUUCCAUGUUCAGGAGAGGAUAUUUUUGUAUGCAUCUGUUUGGAAAUCUUGAUAUUAUUAUUUGAUGAUGAGGGUGAAAAUAACUUAAUAGCUUGAUGCUAAUUUCUUAUUUUCUUUCCCAAUUUCCAUGAGCCUAGAUCAUAGCUCCUACCAGUUUUUCUUUUGGGUUUAUUCUGGCUAUAUAGUGGCUGUAGUUAAGGUGUUUGGUCAAAGGAAAAUCUCUUUAAUGCUUUAAAUUUUGUUAUCUAUGUUUCUGUAAAUCCGCUUGUAUUCGGACCAAUUGCAGCGGCGCAGGAAGGGACUCCUCCAACAGGUUCUGUCAGCCCUCUUCUUUCUUUGUAUUCAACUUUUUCUUUGUUAUUAUCGAAUUGAUUGAAAGCUGAAAUAGUUAUUAUUGAGAAGAUUGAAUGCUGAAAUAGAUAAUAUAGAAUUGAGCAGUGGGUUUAUACUUUAUAUUUUUGAGUAAUUGAUGUGGUUACUGGUUUAUAUAUUGCUUAAUAUCUUGUUUUCACUUGAGAAUAUUCAUUUGGACAUUUGGUUUCAAAUCUUUUAUUUUUCUCAGCUUUUCAUUUUUAAAGCACACAAGUGUUUGGCAAAAUGUGUCAGAUAAUAUUACUUAUUGUUUGUUUCACAAAAUGUCCCAGAGAAUUAUAAGCAUAUUUUAAAUGAUUGUUUGUUUGAAUAGUAAGAAUGUCUGAGAGAAUAUAUAUAUAUGUCAUGAUCUUUGUAAUCAAUCUCAUUUUUACACACUAGAAAAAACUAAGAUCAGUUGGGCAGUUUACAAUUGGAUUUUUGCCACCCGAAAUAUACAUUGGUUUGGUUGAACACUAUAAUAUGCAUGUGUACCUAUAAGAUACAAAAUAAACAUAUAAGAAUCUGAUCUCACUUGGCUAGUGGUUGCUCAUUUUUUUGUUCUGUUACCAGAAAAAAUAUUUGGACAUGGAAGUAGUGUGUUCGAAAGUUUCAAACUUUGGAUUAUUUUGGCUUUUAUUGAUUGUUGCUUUUACUAGUAGGCAGAAGUUAGGCCUUGUUUUAAGUUGCAUGUUUUGUUGCUUUAGUCGUUGUUUUUCAUGGUAGUACAUCUUGCUAUACCCUGCUGUUUCGUCAAGUUUUGGAGUUAUUACAAAUUUAAUUUAAACUUUAUAUGCUUACAGGUGGAAACUAGCUUAAGUCUUAUGUUCUUAAUAAUAAAAGGACUUUUUUUUUUACAAUGUGCAGGUAUAUUGAGAUGAUUUCUUUGGAGCAAUUCCUGACAACAUUUGUAGUUGAAGCCUUUAGAAUAGAAGAAUGUAUUUCACUAAUUUUUGUAUACAUUUCUUGUUUUGUAUUUAGUGAUAAAGGAAUCUGAAUUGGGCAUAAAUUAUGUUGUAAUAUGAUUUCUUAAGCCUAGACUAGUAGACUAAAUAUUGUAAUUACAUUUGAGUAAUUAAUAAAAAUCUAUUUAUGUUA